GACGUAGGAUGCGAGCGUUGUCCGGAUUUAUUGGGCGUAAAGAGUUCGUAGGUGGUUCAUUAAGUCUGGUGUUAAAGACCGGGGCUCAACCUCGGGAUCGCACUGGAUACUGGUGGACUGGAGUGCAGUAGAGGCAAGCGGAAUUCCCAGUGUAGCGGUGAAAUGCGUAGAUAUUGGGAAGAACACCGGUGGCGCAAGCGGCUUGCUGGGCUGUAACUGACACUGAGGAACGAAAGCUAGGGGAGCAAAUGGG
rnacentral:rRNA from 2 species